GAGCGGGUGGGCAGGGGCACUUCCGGUCCGUGGGGCUGGCGGGCAUGGAGGCCUCCUGGUCGACGCCACCGCCAUCGCCAUCGUCGUCGUCGCCGCCGCAGAGCAGCCCGGGCGCCGCAGACCCGCAGCUGCGGCGCUUCGUGGAGGUGGAGACGCAGAGGCAGCGGGCACAGCAGCUCGUCCACCACCUGACCGAGCUGUGCUGGGAGAAGUGCGUGGACAAGCCCGGGCCCAGGCUGGACCGCCGCGCCGAGGUCUGCCUGGUGAACUGCGUGGAGCGCUUCAUCGACACCAGCCAGUUCAUCCUGAACCGCCUGGAGCAGACCCACAGGGCCCGGCCGCUCCUCUCCGGAAGCCUGGCUGACUGACCUGCCUGCCGAAAGGACUUCUCCUACUGAUAGCCCUGCCUAUACUUCCUGCCUGGCUACAUCCUGCUUGCCCAUUGGCCGAAACAACGUUAUUCAUCAACCAGUAAGAGAAGCAUAUACUCACAGCAUGGAAGGCUCUCUCUCAUCAGUCAACCGUCCUGUGUUUUAGUCUUGGCAUCUUGUUACCAGGAUGAGAUUUGUUUCUGUUGCUUAUCCAAUCCAUUCUCUUGCUUCUCCCACCUCAGCUCUUCAGAGCCUGACACCUGUCGUCUCCCCACUGCCUCUCACCUCUACACACGUCAGACUCGGUGUUACGCUCUGCUCCUGACCGCUUUCUGAAUCCAGUUACUUCCAGCCGCUGUCCCAGGGGCAUGACUGGGACCAGAAGCCAUGGCCUUUCAUCUGCUUCUCAGGCAAGCAGCUCAACAUCCACUGUACCUGGGAUAAACGCUGUAAAUUAGCAAUGCAGACCACCCAGCAAAGGCUGUUAUCAGGGCUGCCUGUUGUAGCACUGGGGUGUAGUGCCCAGGAGGGCUGCCUCCAAGGACCAGGUCCAACUGGAAAAUGCAGCCAGGAGCGAUGCCAGUCACCAACUGUGCCCCAGCUGCCUUUGGGAAGGCCCCCACCAGAGCGGAGCAGGCUACAAUCGGCCGUGUCAUCUUGAAGCAGCCACAACUGCGAUGCUUCCUGUAACUAGAAUAGAGUCGUCGGUCACUGAGUAUCAGCUGCUCCAGUAAAAUCGACACAUGCUAACUAACAUGAUGACUCAAACAGAGUAGACACAGGUGUUUGAUUGACGUCUCACAAAAAUGGCAUAGUGCUUGCCGGUAACUCCCUGACCACCUCGUGGGGUUUCAGGAACAGCAGGGGUGAACCUCAUAUCUUAUUAGGGAGACAACAGAAGUGACCCCCAAUUUCAGCCUCCUUUCCUGCCCAAUCUGGGCAGUUGUAGGCUUCCCCUCCUUAUCUGGGAAGGGUCUGAUAGCUGCCAAUCAAGGGGCCAGAUGGCUUGUUCCUGACAGCAUUGCUUAUGUAAUAAUAAUAAUAAUAAUAACAAUAUAGAUAGUAAUAGUAAUAUGAGGAGGAGCAGAAAAAGAAAGGCCAGGCUUGGUAGUGUACUCCUAUUAUACCUGGGAGAAGCUAGGGCAGGAGGAUUGCUGAGAGUUUAAAACCAACCUGGAUUACAGAGUGAGUCCGAGGCCAGGAUAGAUUUUUUUUAAUAUUUUUAUUCUAUGAUCAUUGGUGUUUUACCUGCAGGUCUGUCUGUGUGAGGGUGUCAGAAACCCUGGAACUGGAGUUACAGACAGGUAUAACCCUCCAUAUGGGUGCUAGGAAUUGAACUCUGGUCCUCUGUAUGUUUAUCCACUAGGAAAACUGUUUUAGAACGUGCUUACUCAAGACUUAACAUGGAAUUGUAAUUCCCAGGUAAACCUUUCCCAGCAGUUCUUAAAGCCCAGCCACAUGCCCCCAGGGAAUUGGGUCUGUCUGCUGGGCCAGUUUUUGUUCCUGGCACUCAAGAGAAAGUGGCAGUUUUGUCCUGUUACUUCUCUUUCUCUGUCAGUCAGUAAUUUUGAAAAGUCCUAUUUGUGUUCAAGUCACCAAACAGGGCAAUAGCUAAGAGAAAAACCCACCAUUGAUUCCAGCUACAGACCAGACCUGUGUGCCCACCACAUUAACCAAAAAACAAAGACAGAUGCCAUAGGAGAAGUUGGGGAAAAUUUCACAGGAAAAUGCCCCACCAAAAAAUUUAGCCAGAAAAGCAACUUCUGGGGAGAUCCCUGGGCUCGGCUCAGUCCCUGACCCUGAACCUCUUACUCCCUGUGAGAGUCCUCACCAAACGGUGGAAUCAAGAGUAGAUGCACUUGUGGGACAGUCUUGUUAACAGGCCCACGCUCAGGGGUUAGGAAGCAGUGCACCCUGUUUAAAGUGAACACGCUUUCUUUCCUACGGCUUUUCCUGUCACAGGUUCAACCUCAAAGGGGCAUGGCAGCCUCUGGAACACACUGUCCCAAGAUGUGUCACACUAGCAUUUGAGAAGGCAGGAAGGUCAUUCAGCUCCCUUGCCCUUCGUCCUCAAGCAGGACAGGAAACCUUGUGACAGAUGUAUGUACAUAGCCCUGGGCUCCAUUCUCAGCAUCACAGAAACUGGGCUUGGUGCUUCACACUUACAGUCCCAUCAUUGGGUAGACGGAGGCAGGAGGAUAAGAAAUUUAAGGUUAUCCUUGACUACAUAGAGAGUUUGAGACCAGCCUGAGCUAGUGACUCUGUCUCAAAGAAAAAAAAAGUGUAUAUUCAUUGUACAAAAAAAUGGUUCUGUUAUGACCUCUUUAAUAUAUGCAUACAUGUGUGUAUAUAUAUGCAUGUAUAAUGCUCUUUACUCAUAUGAACCUCGCAUUGGUCCCCCUUUCUACUUUUGUGCCUUUUUUAAAGUUUAAUGAGAAAAUAUGUGACAUUUGUCUUUCUGAAUUUGUUUUAUUGCUUUUAACAUGAUCUGUUUUCUCCAUUUUUCUGCAUUAUCUUCUUCUUUAUGGCUGAGUAAAACCCCAUUGCUGUCUAUACCACACCUUUCUUCAUCUCUUCACUCACUGAUUCUGUAACUUGGCCAUUAUGAAUGGGGCC